AAAAAGGUAAGCUAAAUAUAAGCUAAUGGGUUCAUACCCCGUAAAUAGGAUUUGUCCUCCUUUUUA
rnacentral:tRNA from 1 species